rnacentral:tRNA from 1 species
GUGUUUAUAUUAUAUAUUAUAUUAUAUUUAUUUAGCAAUUAAAAGAAGAGUUGACACG